UACCAGCUCUCCGAGUGGUAGGGAUGAUUAUUGGGCUUAAAGCGUCCGUAGCCGGCUUAGCAAGUCUCCUGUUAAAUUCAGCGACCUAAUCGUUGACCCGCGGGAGACACUACUAGGCUAGGAGGCGGGAGAGGUCGACGGUAUUCUCGGGGUAGGGGUGAAAUCCUAUAAUCCCGGGAGGACCACCAGUGGCGAAGGCUGUCGGCUAGAACGCGCUCGACGGUGAGGGACGAAAGCUGGGGGAGCAAACCGGAUUAGAUACCCGGGUAGUCCCAGCUGUAAACGAUGCGGGCUAGGUGUUGGGGUGGCUACGAGCCACUUCAGUGCCGCAGGGAAGCCGUUAAGCCCGCCGCCUGGGGAGUACGGCCGCAAGGCUGAAACUUAAAGGAAUUGGCGGGGGAGCACCACAAGGCGUGAAGCUUGCGGUUCAAUUGGAGUCAACGCCGGGAACCUUACCGGGGGCGACAGCAGAAUGAAGGCCAGAUUGAAGGUCUUGCCGGACAAGCUGAGAGGAGGUGCAUGGCCGUCGCCAGUUCGUGCCGUGAGGUGUCCUGUUAAGUCAGGCAACGAUCGAGACCCGCACCCUUAGUUGCUACCAAGGAAGUUUUCCAAGGGGCACUCUAAGGGGACUGCCGCCGACAAGGCGGAGGAAGGAGCGGGCCACGGCAGGUCAGUAUGCCCCGAAUCCCCCGGGCCACACGCGAGCUGCAAUGGCAGGGACAAUGGGUUCCCACCUUGAAAAAGGGAGGCAAUCCCUAAACCCUGCCUCAGUUGGGAUCGAGGGCUGCAACCCGCCCUCGUGAACAUGGAAUGCCUAGUAAUCGCGCGUCAUCAUCGCGCGGUGAAUACGUCCCCGCUCCU
rnacentral:rRNA from 1 species